rnacentral:snoRNA from 1 species
UAGGGAUGUCAAGGCUGGGCAUUUCCUGAAAAAAUUCUUGAAUCUCUCCCAUGCCUCAGGAUAGCUCUCGAAAUCUUUCUGCUUGAAAGUGUGGACUUCAUUUUUUACUUG